rnacentral:misc_RNA from 15 species
UAUCUCAUCUCAAUAUCUGUUUACUCUUCUGUGUUUCUCAUUUCCCGAUCUACCCCUGAUCUCUCUGUAGGAGCGCGGACUGCAGCUGUUUCUGCGCUACGGCUCCCGUUGGGGCAUGGAGGCGCUGCGGGGCCUGGUGGACGUCACGCCCCUAGAGCCGGGCCGCCACUGCGGGCAGUUUCAGUGCCCCUGCCAGUACAUCAAAGAGCACUUGCAGUGCAAACCGCGAGAUGUUAGCCCCUAAGGCUUCGGUAAUGUUUUGUAGUUUUUGGUAUUUUUUUGGUGCAAUCAACACUCUUAAUACCUCCCUAACUCCCACCUCCCCCAACUUUAUAUGUGUACAAAAUUAACUCGAAUGUUUUCUAAAUUUGUUGUUCAACCAUGUCUCUUUGAUGCCUGCCACAGUCGCCAUAAACAGCAUUGGUCAAGUAGUUUGGACACGGUUCCCCUUGUUUGGUGGCUAGGUGUUGGCACAGAUACCACAAGUACCCUGACCUUGACCCACAACACACACAGUUUCGAGUAUGAACAAAAACUAAGCCGUUUCGAUAUUAUUAUUUCAAAAAUUAUACCUAAUGUUAACCGAAUGCAAAACGAAUGAAUUUCUUAUUAACGUAAGCACUGUGAAAAUGUUCCAUUUCUACUAUAUUUUGUUGGUGUCAUGAAUAAAUGUCAAAUAUAUGUAUGUA